rnacentral:rRNA from 1 species
GUACAGACAGCGUGGUGUGGGGGUGUCCCCCUCUCGUGUCGAGAGAUGUUGGGUUAUAUCCCGCAAAGAGCGCAACCCUUGCCUUUAUUUGUCCUCAUUAAGUUGGGCACUCUAAAGAGACUGCCGGGGAUAACCAGGAGGAAGGUGGGGAUGACGUCAAAUCAUCAUGCCCCUUAUGCUUAGGGCUACACACGUGCUACAAUGGGUGGUACAAAGGGCAGCCAAGUCGUGAGGCGGAGCUAAUCCCUAAAAGCCCCUCUCAUUUCGGAUUGUAGGCUGAAACUCACCCUACAUGAAGCUGGAUUUACUAGUAAUCACAAAUCAAAAUGCUGCGG